UUCCUGUUCUGCCGGAUUCGGAGCGAGGACUUUGAGCUCCAAAAUCCCGGCCUGGGCUGCGCCCGGCUCACGCCACAGCCGCUCCCGGUGACACCAGCAGGGAACGAUCCCCGCGCCUCUGACCACCGGCAACUCGCUCGGGGGGCUGGAACUGCUGGGCCAGGGGGGACCCGAUCCCUUCUGACCCCUCUUGGGCUCGCCGGAGUGCGAGGGACGCUCUAAAGGAAACCCCGAGGUCUCUGCUAAAUCCCAUCAGGUGGGCCCCGAGUUCUGUAGCCCAAGCAGGCUGUGCCUGGCCGCAGGUGAGGUUUGUCCUGCUCCUGAUUUUCCAGCUCCGUGUCCUUCCCAUUGCUCGCAGGCAGCCUGGAACCGGGCUGGAGGUGCAGCGACGUUGCCACGUCCCUUCCGUCCCUGCCCACCGGCCCCACGGGGGGGGUUCGCCUCCUCCCCCUCACCUGGGGAGCCGCUCCCUGCCCGGAUUUUCCUGCCCGGAAUUUUCCUGCCCGGAGUUUUCCGCCUGCCCCGCGCGGGGCCGGGGCUCUGACGCAGCGCUCAGGAAUCCUCGGGCAGCUGGAGCCACAUCUGGGCUUGUCCCGGCCACAUCUGGGCUUGUCCCGGGCACGGAGCGGCCCAGUCCGGUAUGUGGGGAGGGGGGAUGGCCCGAGCCAGAACAGGAUCCCACUCUAGAACAGGAUCCCCAUUCAGUCUCACACUGGGCUGCUGGGUGCCCAUGGGAUUGGGAUGGUGUCCCAUGGGAUUGGGAUCAUCCUGUCCCAUGGGAAUGGGAUCGUUGUGCCCCACGGGGCUGGGAUGGUGUCCCACGGAUGGAUCUCCAUGCUCUGGCACGGCCCGGGGAUCUCAGCCCCGGGAUUUGCCCCAUUCCCCGGUGGGAGCCGGGCCAGCACCCCGGGAGCGGGCGGGAGGCGUGACCCCAAUCCCGGCCCUGCCCUGCCGGGGUUUGACAGGAGCGGGAAGGGAGAGCGGGGCUGGCGUGGAUGGGAUUGACGGGAUUUAUGGGAUUUACGUGAUUUAUGGCGCUGCUGCUCAGCAGACGAGAUCCACCCCCUGCCUUUUCUUGACGCCGUUUCCUGGCAGCUCCCUCGGUGUCUGUGCUGGGCUGAGCGGCUCCCACAGCCCCCGAGAGCAGGGGCUGGAAUCCGAUACUGUGGGAGCUGCGAGGUGAAGGGAGGAAGAAGAGGAGAGGGAGAGGAGAGAAGGGGAGGAAGAGAGAGAAGGAGGAAAAGGAGAAAGGAUAAGAAAGAAGGAGGAGGAGGAGAAGAAAGAAGGAGGAGGAGGAGGAGGAAAGAAAGAAAGAAAGGAGGAGGAGAAGGGAGGGAGAAGAGAGAGGGGGAGGAGGAGGAGAUGAAGGAAAAGGAGGAGGAAGAGAAGGAGAAGAAAGAAGAGGAGAAGGAGAGGGGAGAAGGAGGAGGAAGAAGAGAAGGAGGAGAAGAAAGAAGAGGAGAGGAAGAGGGAGGAGGAUGAGAAUGAAGAGAAGAGGAGGGAGAAAUAGAAGUAGAAACAGGAGGACAAGGAGAAGGAGAGGAAGGAGAAAACGAAUUCACGAGAGCACAGAGAGGGUUUAGCAGGAUUCCAGGAGGGAAAAGGCCCAGGAAAACGGUGAUGAUUCAUUUUCAGCCAGCUCGGUGUUUCUAUAGCAAACCACAAACAGGAGGGAUCUGCUCCAGCUGGGCCAGCAGCUGGAGCUCCCAGGAAUCCUCCAGGCUGGGGGCUGGAAUCCUCCUGAGCUCCGGGCUGGGAGCUGGAAUCCUCCUGAGCUCCGGGCUGGGAGCUGGAAUCCUCCUGAGCUCUGGGCUGGGAGCUGGAAUCCUCCUGAGCUCUGGGCUGGGAGCUGGAAUUCUCCUGAGCUCUGGGCUGGGAGCUCAGCAGUUCCACCACUGUGGGGGCGUCGGGGGGAAAGAGCCCCGUGGUGCCCCUGGGCUG
ensembl:lncRNA